UGGAUGCUUCCUGCCCUUGAACAUAGGACUCCAAGUUCUUCAGCUUUGGGACUUGGAUUGGCUUCCUUGCUCCUCAGCCUGCAGACGGCCUACUGUGGGACCCCUUCUUACUGAAAGCCUCCCUGUAAGGUGCUGAUUGACUUCCAGAUCUGAGGACCCCGUCUCCGCCUCAUUCCUCCUGUUUCCAUCAGAAGGCACAGGUCUGGUUCUCAGCGCCACCGACCUGUCUGUCCCUCUCUGCACAGUUUACUCCUGGGCUCUGCAGAGAGAAGUCAGUGCCUCAAUUUUCCACUGAAAUAUGCACCCUUGACAUCCUGGCAGACGCGUCCUCCAGAGCUGGCUGCAUACGCAUUCCCUCUGCUUUCCUGGAAGUCCCCUCCUUUCCAUCUACAAUGGGACUUUUAAAAAAACUCCCAGUCACUAGUGCACAAGAAGAACCAUUCAAAGCCGGCAUCCAACCUCAGAUUUGGAGCAACCUAAGAUUUGUUCGCAAAGGAACAGAACGAUAAAGCUUCAACCCACCCACGUUUAUAACUGAGAAGAAAGCACACACUUCAUUUGGUAAAUAAAGCAAACAACUGAAAGUAUGCUUUGCUUUGACUCUGUUUUGAGGCCAGUUAGGGGAUGGAAAGGGUGAGGCUAAGCAGGUAAAGGAAAUGGAAGAGGUCAGGAGAAGGAAAAUGUGAGC